UACGUAGGGUGCGAGCGUUACUCGGAAUUACUGGGCGUAAAGCGUGCGCAGGCGGUUCUGUAAGACAGAUGUGAAAUGCCCGGGCUUAACCUGGGAACUGCAUUUGUGACUGCAUGGCUAGAGUUUGGCAGAGGGGGGUAGAAUUCCACGUGUAGCAGUGAAAUGCGUAGAUAUGUGGAGGAACACCGAUGGCGAAGGCAGCCCCCUGGGUCAAGACUGACGCUCAUGCACGAAAGCGUGGGGAGCAAACAGG
rnacentral:rRNA from 1 species